rnacentral:rRNA from 1 species
UACGUAGGGUGCGAGCGUUAAUCGGAAUUACUGGGCGUAAAGCGUGCGCAGGCGGUUUGAUAAGCCAGAUGUGAAAUCCCCGAGCUCAACUUGGGAACUGCGUUUGGAACUGUCAGACUAGAGUGCGUCAGAGGGGGGUGGAAUUCCGCGUGUAGCAGUGAAAUGCGUAGAGAUGCGGAGGAAGACCGAUGGCGAAGGCAGCCCCCUGGGAUGACGCUGACGCUCAUGCGCGAAAGCGUGGGGAGCAAACAGG